rnacentral:rRNA from 1 species
UACGUAGGGUGCGAGCGUUGUCCGGAAUUAUUGGGCGUAAAGAGCUCGUAGGCGGCUUGUCACGUCGGGUGUGAAAGCUCGGGGCUUAACCCCGGGUCUGCAUUCGAUACGGGCCGGCUGGAGUGUGGUAGGGGAGAUCGGAAUUCCUGGUGUAGCGGUGAAAUGCGCAGAUAUCAGGAGGAACACCGGUGGCGAAGGCGGAUCUCUGGGCCAUUACUGACGCUGAGGAGCGAAAGCGUGGGGAGCGAACAGG